rnacentral:misc_RNA from 1 species
GAGGCACAAUCAAUCGUAACUUUUUUAUUAAAAAAGAAGAACCCUAACUUAAAAACAAAGCUCAAAGGUCCAUGAACUAUAAACCGUAGAAUUUAGCCAAGCGAAUUCGUUUGACCCGAAGCUCAGAGAUCGAUAAGUUCACUCAAUACACCGCUGAUCUCCUUCAACUUUCGAUGAGGCUGUAGCGUCGUCUAGAAGAGCAAAGACCGAUGGCUCUUUCAACCGUAAAUCAAGUGUGAGUGAGAGAGCGUUUUCAAAGCCAACAACCG